rnacentral:rRNA from 1 species
GGGGGGAUAUUGCACAAUGGGCGAAAGCCUGAUGCAGCGACGCCGCGUGGGGGAUGAAGGCCUUCGGGUUGUAAACUUCUUUUGCUCUGAACAAGGCGCACCAUGGGGUGUGUUGAGUGUAGGGGUUGAUUAGCGCCGGCUAACUACGUGCCAGCAGCCGCGGUAAUACGUAGGGCGCGAGCGUUGUCCGGAAUUAUUGGGGGUAAAGGGCUUGUAGGUGGCUGGUUGCGUCUGUCGUGAAAGCUCAUGGCUUAACUGUGGGUUUGCGGUGGGUACGGGCUGGCUUGAGUGCAGUAGGGGAGGCUGGAAUUCCUGGUGUGGAGGUGGAAUGCGCAGAUAUCAGGAGGAAUACCGGUGGCGAAGGCGGGUCUCUGGGCUGUUACUGACACUGAGGAGCGAAAGCAUGGGGAGCGAACAGG